rnacentral:rRNA from 1 species
GACGAACGCUGGCGGCGUGCUUAACACAUGCAAGUCGAACGGAAAGGCCUCUUUCGGGGGGUACUCGAGUGGCGAACGGGUGAGUAACACGUGAGUAACCUGCCCUUGACUUUGGGAUAACUUCAGGAAACUGGGGCUAAUACCGGAUAGGAGCUCCUGCUGCAUGGUGGGGGUUGGAAAGUUUCGGCGGUUGGGGAUGGACUCGCGGCUUAUCAGCUUGUUGGUGGGGUAGUGGCUUACCAAGGCUUUGACGGGUAGCCGGCCUGAGAGGGUGACCGGCCACAUUGGGACUGAGAUACGGCCCAGACGCCUACGGGAGGCAGCAGUGGGGAAUAUUGCACAAUGGGUGGAAGCCUGAUGCAGCAACGCCGUGGGCGGGAGGACGGCCUUCGGGUUGUAAACCGCUUUCGCUCAUGACGAAGCUUUGUGUGACGGUAGUGGGUAAAGAAGCACCGGCUAACUACGUG